GAUUUUAGUAUGUAUUUGAAAGAUUUUAUGUGGAGGUAUAUGUGAUAAAUGUGAAACAGAAAGUACAUAUUAAGUACUACUUUGAUGGAAAUAGCUUAUGUUCAGUUGGUUUCGAUUACGUGACUAGGAAAAGGAAGUAAACAUCAUGAAUAUGUAAAAGAAAUAAUACUAAUGUCGGAUUCGAUUACGCAAAAUGAAAUGGUCAACUGAAAGUUUGCUAUAACCAUUGUUAACGUGUCAGAACCCUAAGAAUGCAAAAUAAGUGUUUGAAUAUAGCUGUAACUGGUGCAUCUGGAGUUGGAAAAUCCAGUUUCAUAAAUUCGAUUUGUGGCUUAACAGCAGAGGAAGAAGGCGGUGCACAUGUCGACAUUGUGGAAGCCACCACUGAAAUUACUCCAUAUUUCUAUCCUAAAAACAGAAGCAUUGUGUUUUGGGAUCUUCCUGGAGUUGGCACCCCAAAUUUUCAAAGAGAGAAAUACUUUCAGGAGGUGACCUUUAAGAAAUACGAUUUUUUCCUGAUCUUAUCUGCUGGAAGAUUUAGAGAUGAUGAUUUAUGGUUAGCAAGGGAAGUGAAAAGGCAAGCUAAAGAUUUUUAUUUUGUUCGAACACAGAUGGAGUUGGACGUAUUGAAAGACAAAAAAGCUCACCCUAAAUCACAUGACAAAAGACGAAUGAUAUACAAAAUACAAACAAAUAUUUUGAAGAAUCUAGCCGACCGUGGAUUCGUUGACACUUCCGUUUUCCUGAUUGACAAUUACAACACCUCUUACAGAGGCUAUGACUUUGAAAAUCUUAAAACAUUUCUCGUUAGCAAAGUUGAUUUUUAAUUUUAAGUUAAUGCAUUAAAUCAUUUAAUUGCUCUUUUUAUGCAUCGAUUACAAAUGUCACAAAAACGCCACACAAGUGAUAAUUGUAUUCAUAUGUGUUUAUUUCUUUGACGAUACAUUCACUUCACGCGAGUGUUGCAUUUACAUACCAAGUUUACAUAUCAGUAUAAUGCCUUUAGUGACAAAUAUGUAACAUUUCAUUAUAAACGGUAUGAUGAAAGGAUAUGCGCGAAUAUUUUAGAGUACAUUCAGAUGCUAAGUUGAUUAGGGCAUAAUUUAUGUUCGUAGUAUGUACAAUGUUAAAAUGAAAAAAUUAAAUGCCAAGACGUUUAUAAUUUAACAAUUUCCAUAAUUAUAGCACAUAAAAUAGUGCAUGAAAUCACAACUAUAUGACACAAUCCAUUUUGUAGUCAGCCUGGUAAUUCAGAUAUUUGAACCAAACAAAAUAAUCAUCAGUUCAUCUUUUUUCACAUUCUAUUUUAGGUAUACACACAUAUUAUUUUCAUUGAUUGAAUCGAAGAAACUUUAAUACUCUGAAGAAAACUGUUUUAAGUUUGACCAAAACAUUAACUUUAUUGUAACAGUAUGGCUAAUUUAUCUUACUCAUUUGUUUAAAAGAUUUGAUUUUUUUCGGUAAGAUCACUCGUGUUUGUUUGAGAGUUCGUAAUAUUUUCGGACCUGUAGGACCAUUCAGUCUAUUCAUUGAUAUUUUAACAAAAUGUUUAGUUCAUGCCGGUGUUAAUGGGUUCGGAAGUGUUGUAGACUGAUAGUUUGCUCGGUUUUGAUCCUUUAAACUGAUAUUCAAAAGAUUUUGAUUUGCCCUUUUAACAACGGUCUUGCAGUGCUUCAUUUGGGCCGUAAAUUUGUGUCAUGUCAUUGCACUUUUAAUGGCUCCUAAACUAUGAUUUUAUACGUAGAAUAAAUACUUUGAGUUAGUUA